rnacentral:miRNA from 1 species
GGGUCCGAUCCUGCACCGCUGAAGACAAUGAACAUUUUUGAAUGGCUUUUAAAGGAUUAGGAUUGGAUCUUUA